GAGGGUAGAGCUCAGUGGUUAGAGUUCAUGCUUAGCCUGCCUGAGGCCCUGGGUUCAAUCCCUGGUACCUCCA
rnacentral:tRNA from 1 species